rnacentral:lncRNA from 1 species
GUGGGCAGCCUCGUUUUCAUGAGUAACUGAUAGGAGGUAUCUGGAUUUGCCAAAAAUUAUGCUGAAGCAUAAAAUAAGUACACCAUAGCGGUACCCAUUUAAUACCAAGACUAACUUUAGUAGAGUAGUGACAGGGUCAGGUCAUAGCCCGACGGGAAUACAUAAGAAAAAUUGAAAAAGUCUAUGGUAGUGUAAUAAUGAUAGCAAUGAAAUGAAACAAUAAGGAAAUAUACCAAGGUUAGCUACACUGAACUAAUGCAAAUAAUGCAUCACGAAAGGAAACAAAGAUUCAUAUGCUAAGGAAAUAAACAAUCAAAACACAAGAUGAAAUAAUAGAAAAGUAUCAACAAGAGCCAUUUGAGUUUUCUAUAAUCCGUCUCAUCAUAAUUGAUCCAGGAUGUCCCAAUCGAUCAUGCCAAAGUACGAAAGUAUUGGAAUCUGUAACCAUUUGGUUUACGAUAGAAUGUGCCUCAAUUGCACUAAUUCUUGUCCAAUACAAGCCACGAGAUAAAGAUGGGAACUUCUCAAUAACCCUCUUUUGGCCAGAAACAUUCUUUGUAAUGAUGAG